UUUCCGUAGGUGAACCUGCGGAAGGAUCAUUACAGAGUUAGGGUCUCACGGCCCGACCUCCCACCCUUUGUCGUCGAAUAAUCUCGUUGCUUUGGCGGGCCGGUCUCACGGCCGGCCGGGACUCACCUCCCGGCCAGCGCCCGCCAGAGGUCAAUCAAACGCUCGUCGAAACGUUCGUCAGAGUCUAAAAUUAAAUCGUUAAAACUUUCAACAACGGAUCUCUUGGUUCUGGCAUCGAUGAAGAACGCAGC
rnacentral:misc_RNA from 1 species